GAGGAAGCCGGUGCAAGUCCGGUGCGGUCGCGCCACUGUGAUCGGCCCACGGGCCGGGAGCCAGAGACUC
rnacentral:ncRNA from 1 species